AUGGCGGGGCGCGGGCAGGGGCUGGAGCAAGAUUUCGAUUUCUUCGUGGUGGUCGACUUCGAGGCGACGUGCGUCCAAGACGCGCGGAUCUUCCCCCAGGAAAUCAUUGAGUUCCCUGCCGUGCUCGUCGACGGCGCCACCGGCCGCAUCGAGUCCGUCUUUCGCAGGUACGUUCGUCCAAAACAUCACCCUGUGCUGACCCAGUUUUGCAGGGAACUCACCGGCAUCCGGCAGGAGGACGUCGACGGCGGCGUGGAUCUCGGCGAGGCGCUCUGGCUGCACGACGCUUGGUUGAAGGCGGCGACGGCGGGGGCAGGGAACAAGAGACGCGUCCGCUUGGCCGUCGUGACAUGGGGGGACUGGGAUUGCCGGACCAUGCUCGAGUUCGAGUGCCGCUUCAAGGGCAUCGAGAAGCCCUCGUACUUCGGUCAGUGGAUCAAUCUGAGAGUCCCCUUCCAGGCGGCGCUCGGUGGCGGAGGGCGGGUCAACCUGCAGGAAGCGGUCCGGGCGGCGGGGCUGGACUGGGAGGGCCGCCUGCACUGCGGGCUGGACGACGCGCGCAACACCGCGCGGCUGCUUGCUGAUCUCAUGCGGCGCGGGGUCAAGAUCAACAUCACCGGCUCGCUGGCGCCGCCGCCGCCGAUGCAGAAGCAGCAGCCGCCGCAGCCACACAUAAUCAACCCCUGCGGUGGCUCCUCUGCGCCGUGCUUCUGGUACUGCGGCGUGGCGAGCAGAGGAGGCAUGGAGCCAGGGCCGACGCAGUCUGGAUGCGGCAACUGGACGCCGGCCAUGGGACCCUACUUCCUGUGGAGCAACUGA
rnacentral:rRNA from 1 species